ACAAAGUUUCUUGUUUUAGUUGGUUAUCCAUAAAGUGAUACACAACAUCACACAUACAAACUUUUCUCACGUACAAAUAUAUUGCAUUUCCCUUGUUAAGACCAUUUCAACUAAUUGAGAGCGUGUUCGUAAUAUUUGGUUUUCCUCUUGUGCAAAAUAUAUGAAAAAAAUAAAAAAACAAACAAAGCUCA